rnacentral:rRNA from 1 species
GACGAACGCUGGCGGCGUGCUUAACACAUGCAAGUCGAACGGAAAGGCCUUUUCGGAGGUACUCGAGUGGCGAACGGGUGCGUAACACGUGGGCGAUCUGCCCUGCACUCUGGGAUAAGCCUGGGAAACUGGGUCUAAUACCGGAUAGGACCGCACUUUAGUGUGUGUGGUGGAAAGUUUUUUCGGUGUAGGAUGAGCCCGCGGCCUAUCAGCUUGUUGGUGGGGUAAUGGCCUACCAAGGCGGCGACGGGUAGCCGGACUGAGAGGUUGGUCGGCCACAUUGGGACUGAGAUACGGCCCAGACUCCUACGGGAGGCAGCAGUGGGGAAUAUUGCACAAUGGGCGCAAGCCUGAUGCAGCGACGCCGCGUGGGGGAUGACGGCCUUCGGGUUGUAAACUCCUUUCGCCAGGGACGAAGCGUUUUGUGACGGUACCUGGAGAAGAAGCACCGGCUAACUACGUG